AACGAACGCUGGCGUCAGGCCUAACACAUGCCAGUCGAGCGGACCUUUCGGGGUCAGCGGCGGACGGGUGAGUAACGCGUGGGAAUAUGCCCUUCUCUACGGAAUAGUCCUGGGAAACUGGGGGUAAUACCGUAUACGCCCUUUGGGGGAAAGAUUUAUCGGGGAAGGAUUAGCCCGCGUUGGAUUAGGUAGUUGGUGGGGUAAUGGCCUACCAAGCCGACGAUCCAUAGCUGGUUUGAGAGGAUGAUCAGCCACACUGGGACUGAGACACGGCCCAGACUCCUACGGGAGGCAGCAGUGGGGAAUCUUAGACAAUGGGGGCAACCCUGAUCUAGCCAUGCCGCGUGAGUGAUGAAGGCCUUAGGGUUGUAAAGCUCUUUCAGCUGGGAAGAUAAUGACGGUACCAGCAGAAGAAGCCCCGGCUAACUCCGUG
rnacentral:rRNA from 1 species